rnacentral:rRNA from 1 species
UACGGAGGGGGCUAGCGUUGUUCGGAAUUACUGGGCGUAAAGCGCACGUAGGCGGCUUGUAAGUUAGAGGUGAAAGCCCGGGGCUCAACUCCGGAAUUGCCUUUAAGACUGCAUCGCUAGAAUUGUGGAGAGGUAAGUGGAAUUCCGAGUGUAGAGGUGAAAUUCGUAGAUAUUCGGAAGAACACCAGUGGCGAAGGCGGCUUACUGGACACAUAUUGACGCUGAGGUGCGAAAGCGUGGGAGCAACAGG